CUGGGCUCCUGGAGCGAGGUGAGCGCCCCAGGCCGCGGUCCUGCGUACGCCGGGACAGCCAUGGCGACUGGGUCCUGCUCCUUCCCGGCCGGACUGACGCGGCCUCCCAGGACCCGAGCACGUCACUGACAGAAGACCGAAAAGCUCGUAGUAAAGGCCCCUCUAAAUUUAGAGACUUUUCCAAACAAGAUGGCAACACCACUAGGCAAGAGAUGUCCCCAGCUGGUGUCCCAUUGCUGGUAAUGCAGCUCAACGAAGUGAAACCCAAAAAAGACCCCCAAAACAUUCAGCAGAACGAAGAUGCCACCCAAUACGAAGAGUCCAUUCUGACCAAACUCAUAGUGGAAAGGUGAUUUUAAUGGGGGUGCCAUCGGGUAUAACACUGCCAGUCAGGCGGUUUAUCUUAUUUUAUUUUGAGACAGCGUCUCACUCUG
rnacentral:lncRNA from 1 species